rnacentral:piRNA from 1 species
UGAUGUGAGCUUCUGCAAAUGAUGAG